GCCAGGAUAUACUGAAACGUCAGUGGUGAAAUACGAUAUUGAUUAAAAAUCAACUGAAGGAACUGCAUCCUGUUUUUUCUUCCAGAUUCUCUACGUAGCAUCUCUGCCUAUGUGAGUCCCGACCAGCAGGAAGAGGCAGUCGGGUUUAGGGCCUCCACCUUGACAUGACACACACACCGCCGUCCCAAGUUACCUGGCUGGAAGAUGAAUACUUUUUCCUGUCCAUCUUAGAUUCAUUUUUGCUUUCUGUUUUACAGUCAUUCUUAUCGCUUGCUAAAGAGGCACCAUCAAAACUGGAUUUUGACCUGAGGAAAGAGAAUCAAGGCAGUCUUGAUCACUCCUAAUACUCCAGGAGCAUUUACAGAGUAUAGCGUAUAGGAGACCGGGAUGGUUUCACCAGGCUGCAACCUCAAACUGCAGAAAUGUGGACUUGUCGAAGGGAGAAGUAUCAGCUGAAUUUUGAAGGUGACUAUGAGCUGGAUGGAAAGCCCAGUGCAAAAUGAAAACGUCGGGCCUCUUAUUCAAAAAUUAGGAAUUUCCAGACAGCGAGAACAGAGCAGUAAAGCAAGCGUGGGGCUCUCUGUGACCACACAGAUGACACGCCCACACCGUUUAACAAGCAUGCUCUCACGAUGAGUGUGUUAUUCUCAUCUGAAGCCUGGGGGAGGCGGAGUCAAACCAGCUUUUUAAAGUGCCCGCUGGAGCCUGCCAAUAAUGGGGAAAGAUUCAAGAAAGGCCGUGCUUUGUGCCUUUGCCCAGAGACUCCUGUGGUGAGUGAGGCGAGAUGCUCAGACAGGAAAUGGCUCUAGAAAGGAGGGUUAAAUGUGAGAUGUGUCAAGCCAGCCAUGCAGAAUCGAUGAUGAGAGAACUAGAAGCGACAGGAAAGAAAAAUCUGGGGGAGACAGAUGAGACUUACGCUUGAUCUUGAAGGAAGUAAGGAUUUGGAGAGAAGGAAUGGGCUGGGUAGCCAGGAAGGAAAGGGAAAAGCAGGAGUUACUUAAUUACCCUUCAGCCGAGGCCAGAAGACCCUGAAGGUGCAGUUCUGACAGUUCUAGUAACGGCGGAGAAAGGAGAACAAUCCCUCCACUGCUCCGUACAGAACUCUGGCCACACUUCCCCGUAACUGACCAUGGGUAGAGCCAUUGUCUUUUCAGGGCAAAAAAAAGCAACUUGAAGUUCCUACUUCCUUCUGUGUGAAAGGAAGCCCGUCACUAGAGUCUCUGAGAGUGCCGGGGACUGUGGCUCCUCUCAAAACUGCCUGUCCCCUCCCAGGCUCAUGACCAAACUACCGCUGUCUCCCAGCACCAGCCCCCAGGAAGCCGGUGGCCCCCCGAGACUGGCACAGCCUGCCCGGGGAUCCCAGGCAGGGAUCCUCUUGGCUUUUUCGUGGCUGCCAGGAAAGCGAGACAGCAGGUGUGCACAUGCAAAGGCCCUCCAACCUGGGCGGGCCCCAUGGGCUCCCUGGCCAGCCUUUCCAGGUGCUUCGGAAGUCUGUGCCAGACAGGGGGCUGUCCUGGCUCUAUCAGGUAGCAAGAUCCGUCCCUGAAGCAAGGGGCAGACGUUCUGGAGUCGGCUGGGGCAGGAAGGAGGAAAGAUGCUGCCCACACGAGAUGAGACAGGAAGGCAAACAUCAGUGCCUGGAUAUCAAGACAGACACCCCACUUCUUUCUCGGAGGUUUACUUGCCUACAGGAGAUCCUGACUCUUCACCACCACCACCACUAAACUAGAAGCACGGGCUCCUCCCAGUAACCCCUCCUCCCCAAAGGCCCAAAAAGAACAAAGCGUCACCGUGAGGACUCACCGCAA